UACGUAGGGGGCAAGCGUUGUCCGGAUUUAUUGGGCGUAAAGAGCGUGUAGGCGGCCAGGUAGGUCUGCUGUGAAAACUCGAGGCUUAACCUCGAGCUGUCGGCGGAAACCAUCUGGCUAGAGUCCGGAAGAGGAGAAUGGAAUUCCCGGUGUAGCGGUGAAAUGCGCAGAUAUCAGGAAGAACACCCGUGGCGAAGGCGGUUCUCUGGGACGGUACUGACGCUGAGACGCGAAAGCGUGGGGAGCGAACAGG
rnacentral:rRNA from 1 species